CCUACGGGGGGCAGCAGUGAGGAAUAUUGGUCAAUGGGCGGAAGCCUGAACCAGCCAAGUAGCGUGCAGGAUGACGGCCCUACGGGUUGUACACUGCUUUUAUACGGGAAUAACGCGCCUCACGUGUACGGCUUUGCAUGUACUGUAUGAAUAAGGACCGGCUAAUUCCGUGCCAGCAGCCGCGGUAAUACGGAGGAUGCGAGCGUUAUCCGGAUUUAUUGGGUUUAAAGGGAGCGCAGGUGGGCUGUUAAGGCAGGGGUCAAAGACUGGGGCACAACCCCGGGCGCGCCGUUGAAACUGGCAGUCUCGAGUUGGAGAGAGGUAGGCGGAAUGCGCGGUGUAGCGGUGAAAUGCAUAGAUAUCACGCAGAACUCCGAUUGCGAAGGCAGCAUGCUGGCUCCACACUGACGCUGAGGCACGAAAGCGUGGGUAUCGAACAGGAUUAGAUACCCCUGUAGUC
rnacentral:rRNA from 1 species